CUACGGGACGCACCAGUGGGGAAUAUUGGACAAUGGGGGAAACCCUGAUCCAGCAAUGCCGCGUGUGUGAAGAAGGCCUGCGGGUUGUAAAGCACUUUCGGUUGGGAGGACUGCUUCUAGCACUAAUAUUGUUGGAAGUUGACGUUACCUUCAGAAGAAGCACCGGCUAACUCCGUGUCCAGCAGCCGCGGGUAAUACGGAGGGUGCAAGCGUUAAUCGGAAUUACUGGGCGUAAAGCGCGCGUAGGCGGCUAGAUCAGUCGGGUGUGAAAGCCCCGGGCUUAACCUGGGAACUGCAUCCGAUACUGUCUAGCUUGAGUACAGGAGAGGAGAGUGGAAUUCCACAUGUAGCGGUGAAAUGCGUAGAUAUGUGGAGGAACACCAAUGGCGAAGGCAGCUCUCUGGCCUGAUACUGACGCUGAGGUGCGAAAGCGUGGGGAGCAAACAGGAUUAGAUACCCCAGUAGUC
rnacentral:rRNA from 1 species